UACGAAGGGGGCUAGCGUUGCUCGGAAUCACUGGGCGUAAAGCGCACGUAGGCGGCUUUCUAAGUCAGGGGUGAAAUCCUGGAGCUCAACUCCAGAACUGCCUUUGAUACUGGGGAGCUCGAGUCCGGAAGAGGUGAGUGGAACUCCGAGUGUAGAGGUGAAAUUCGUAGAUAUUGGGAAGAACACCGGUGGCGAAGGCGGCCAUCUGGACCGCAACUGACGCUGAGGCGCGAAAGCGUGGGGAGCAAACAGGG
rnacentral:rRNA from 1 species